CCCAAUCCCAGAUGCAAUCUGCUGAAAAGCCAUUUAAAAGCAAAAAUAUCAUAAAUAAAACAACUCCAAAUCUAUUGAAAAUAAAUAAAUCUUUAUUAUUUGCUAUAGAGACAAUCCCUCAUGCAUCCCAAAAUAAAGAUAAACAAAAUCUGAUUAAAAAGAAGCUCCCCAUUAGCAGGAAGUAGCCACAUAUGGAAAUAAAUCAGUUAGUAACAAUAAAUCAUUUUGGAAAACAAUAUAAUUAAACAUCUGUGGUAAAAUAAAUGUCUGUUUCAUCUUAUAAUUACAAAUCCAGCAGGAAAAUACAACAUUAUAAUCCUCACAUUUGAAAUAUAAUAUACUCAUAAAUACACAAUGAUUCUGUCCAAAAGUAUGAGCGGGAACAAUAGGCUCUAUUGACAGUUCUACCAGAGUCUAUCAGAUGAGAUAGACGGUGCAUUCUACUCUCCAGUUCAAGACAGAAGUCUCUCUUUUACAGUAUCUCUUUCCUCAUUCCUUUAAAGAAAAUAUAUCAGGACAAAUACAUUUAGUGGUUUUAACAUCUGUUUAAGAUAAGAAAUACAGUUAGGAAUGUGAACUUUGUUUGUUUUUCACGUGAGACAGUUUUCUAACAAAAACGCGUACAUCUGGGUCGGAUUCAUUAACCACCAAACGGAGGAAAAUGGACUGAAACAGGGAGAGACUUACUGGACUUAUUAGUCCAAUAAGAAACUCUCAUUUAGUUGAAAAAUGCUUUUAAACGUUUUCCAUUGUUACCCUAAUGAACACGACCCAGGACAAAAGUGUGGAAUUAAUAUAAUGCAUACACUUGUCUUCAAGUGGUGCGUUUCAAAAACAGUAGUUUCUACUAUUGAUCUUUUCAAGUUCAGAGACAGUGAAAUGUAUUGCACAGUUAGUUCUAGACCUGGGUGCAAAUACUUUAUCGGAGCAUGCCUGGAUUAAUUCACUAAUAUAAUAGUCCCAAAACAGUAAACCCCACCUAUUUGACCCUCCUGGCAGGCAAGAGAAAAUGCUCAAAGUACUUCAAAGAUUUCAAAUAGUAUUUGAACCCAGGUCUGGUUCAUUCCUCAUAGAGGUUGCAUUAGAAGAGGGCAUGGUCAUUUACAGCAGACACUAAACUCCCAUACAACCAUUAUCAUCAACCAGGCCUUAAGUCUCCUCAACCUUGGUCAUCUUACACCUUCAGGACAAGACAUGCACUCUGACCCACAUCUACGUGCUUAAAUACAACCCAUACACAACGUCAGAAUCAAGGCAUAGGCCUAACGUAAGAUAACGUCACAAACAGCCAGGGUGAGAAAAAAAAUCAUAGAAUUAACCUUAAACACAUUUUUGCAUGUCAAAAUUAUUUCAUUUUGGGUUAAUGUUCAUGAUUAUUUAACAACAUAGUUAGUCUUCAGCAAAAUAAACACACCAAGUAACAUUCUGUUUGAAAUUGGACCGUUAAGACAGAAGAAGAGUUCACUAUAAAAGCAAAUAUAUAGCAUCAUUUGUGUCUCCCAGGUCACCAGGCAUGUGGGUGUUAAGGUACCAUCCACCGUCACACUCUCUGAAGUAGAAACCAUAGAAAUAUAAUUCUAUUCCUACGGUAGAAACACAGUGUUAACGCAUCUGACAUUAUCUCUGUAAAUAGUUGAAACAGUGUUAAGGGGUUGUUGGGCUGUUCAGUGCAUGGCUUCACCAGUGUUCAGGUUGGGGAGACUACACCAGGCCUCAUCAGUGUUCAACUGCAAGAGAAAACAACAACAUUCUUUUAGAAAUAGA
ensembl:lncRNA